rnacentral:rRNA from 1 species
CCUACGGGGGGCAGCAGUGAGGAACAUUGGUCAAUGGGAGAGAUCCUGAACCAGCCAAGCCGCGUGAGGGAAGACGGCCCUAUGGGUUGUAAACCUCUUUUGUCAGGGAACAAAGGCGGGGACGUGUCCCCGGAUGAGUGUACCUGAAGAAAAAGCAUCGGCUAACUCCGUGCCAGCAGCCGCGGUAAUACGGAGGAUGCGAGCGUUAUCCGGAUUUAUUGGGUUUAAAGGGUGCGCAGGCGGUCUGUUAAGUCAGCGGUCAAAUCCCGGGGCUCAACCCCGGCCCGCCGUUGAAACUGGCAGUC